GUGCUUGCUUCGGCUGCACAGAUACUAAAAUUGGAAUAAUACAGAGAAGAUUAGCAUGGCCCCUGUGCAAGGAUGACGCGCAAAUUCACGAAGCGUUCCAUAUUUUU